rnacentral:tmRNA from 1 species
GGGGCCGACUGGUUUUGACAGCGAGACCAAUGGCUAUGUAAGCAUGCCGAGCGCUGGGAUACAGCUCGUUAAUCUCAUAUUUCACACUUUUAAAUGGCGAAUCUAAUUACGCUCUUGCCGCUUAAUCUGAAUUAUAGUAGGAUUUAGCCUCGUCUCUGCUAGGCAGAGAAGCGAGAUGUCCCUGGAUAGCCCUUGUUGACGGCGAUCUUUUUAGGGGCACCA